GACGAACGCUGGCGGUGUGCUUAACACAUGCAAGUCGAACGGAAAGUCCCUGCUUUUGUGGGGUGCUCGAGUGGCGAACGGGUGAGUAACACGUGAGUAACCUGCCCUUGACUUUGGGAUAACUUCAGGAAACUGGUGCUAAUACCGGAUAGGAGCUCCUGCUGCAUGGUGUGGGCUGGAAAGUUUCGGCGGUUGGGGAUGGACUCGCGGCUUAUCAGCUUGUUGGUGGGGUAGUGGCUUACCAAGGCUUUGACGGGUAGCCGGCCUGAGAGGGUGACCGGCCACAUUGGGACUGAGAUACGGCCCAGACUCCUACGGGAGGCAGCAGUGGGGAAUAUUGCACAAUGGGCGGAAGCCUGAUGCAGCAACGCCGCGUGCGGGAUGACGGCCUUCGGGUUGUAAACCGCUUUCGCCUGUGACGAAGCGUGAGUGACGGUAAUGGGUAAAGAAGCACCGGCUAACUACGUG
rnacentral:rRNA from 1 species